GGGGAACUCUAUGAACAAUGGAAGAAAGAAAGAGAAUGGAAGACUAAGAAUUGGAUAAGAGUGUAAAACCUAGAGCCCUAGGGUCCUUCAAAUAGUGCCAGAAGUACUCCAGAAUGAGAAACAAGGCCUGGUCCACGUGAAUUCACGCUCAAGUGUCGCAAGGAGCUCACCCAAGCGUGAAUUGAGAAUCAUGUUGGGCUUGGGCGUCAGAUUUGGACGCCUAGGCUUCGAAGCAGUACCGCCCAGGCGUCGAGGUCCACCGCUCAAGCGGCGAACGUCGAUUCUGAACGCUUUAGCUGCGCUCCUAGUCGCCUGGGCUGCGAGUUUUCCUUCCUUCUUC
rnacentral:lncRNA from 1 species